CUUCAGCUUUGAGAGAAUUACCCAGUGCGAAAAGCAGUUCUGAAGUAAGGAUGUUCUUGUAUCUGUUUACUCGACACAACACAUAUCUUGUCUGUCUUGGCCUCUAUGCAGGAAGAUUUGUUUUAUUUAAAUAACCUCAAGUUGCUGAAGAAAUCCGGGAAGAUCCUGCUUGAAAGAGAAGGUUGUAAAGGGGAGCUUUAAAUCAUGGGAAAUCAUGCACAACAAAUUUCUGUGAGCUUUUCUUAAACAAACAAUUUUAUAUUAAAAGGGGAGUGAGGGUUUUACUUCUAUAUUUGUUUUGACAGCACCUUUUUCUAAAAGGAUGUUUACAAGGGGAAGAAAAACUGACACCUCUAUCCCCCUCUUGCAGUUACCAUUGACUCUGGAUUUUGCCACCCUGAAAUCACCUCAAGCCAAGAGAGGGAACCUGAAAAAGACCACCUAUAGGAGCUAUGGGAAUAGAUCUAUGGGAGUCAGUCUGAGUCCAGGUUUCUACAUACAAUUGAGAAAAGAACAAGGUUAAUUUAGGUAAGCUUCAUUUUUAACUAUUUCAAAGUGAAGGUAAAUGCUUCUGAAUAAAUGAAGCAAGGAUAUUAAAAGCA
rnacentral:lncRNA from 1 species